rnacentral:rRNA from 1 species
GAUGAACGCUGGCGGCGUGCCUAAUACAUGCAAGUCGAGCGAACGGACGAGAAGCUUGCUUCUCUGAUGUUAGCGGCGGACGGGUGAGUAACACGUGGAUAACCUACCUAUAAGACUGGGAUAACUUCGGGAAACCGGAGCUAAUACCGGAUAAUAUUUUGAACCGCAUGGUUCAAAAGUGAAAGACGGUCUUGCUGUCACUUAUAGAUGGAUCCGCGCUGCAUUAGCUAGUUGGUAAGGUAACGGCUUACCAAGGCAACGAUGCAUAGCCGACCUGAGAGGGGGUUCGGCGCCACUGAAACUGAACAACGGCCCAGAGCCUUAGGGAAGGCACAGGUGGGGAACCUUCGCAAAGGGCGAAAGCCUGACGGAGCAACGCCGCGUGAGUGAUGAAGGUCUUCGGAUCGUAAAACUCUGUUAUUAGGGAAGAACAUAUGUGUAAGUAACUGUGCACAUCUUGACGGUACCUAAUCAGAAAGCCACGGCUAACUACGUG